AUUGAACGCUGGCGGCAGGCCUAACACAUGCAAGUCGAGCGGAUGAAGGGAGCUUGCUCCUGGAUUCAGCGGCGGACGGGUGAGUAAUGCCUAGGAAUCUGCCUGGUAGUGGGGGAUAACGUCCGGAAACGGGCGUUAAUACCGCAUACGUCCCGAGGGAGAAAGUGGGGGAUCUUCGGACCUCACGCUAUCAGAUGAGCCUAGGUCGGAUUAGCUAGUUGGUGGGGUAAGGGCCUACCAAGGCGACGAUCCGUAACUGGUCUGAGAGGAUGAUCAGUCACACUGGAACUGAGACACGGUCCAGACUCCUACGGGAGGCAGCAGUGGGGAAUAUUGGACAAUGGGCGAAAGCCUGAUCCAGCCAUGCCGCGUGUGUGAAGAAGGUCUUCGGAUUGUAAAGCACUUUAAGUUGGGAGGAAGGGCAGUAAGUUAAUACCUUGCUGUUUUGACGUUACCAACAGAAUAAGCACCGGCUAACUUCGUG
rnacentral:rRNA from 1 species